CAUAGGAAUGAAGAAUCCUUGUCCUUUUCGAAUUCUCGCGAGCAUGGAUCCAAAUUAAUCAUGGAGAUCGCCCCAAUAAGCCUUCUUGCAUUGGCCCAUAUCCAAAAAUAGUCAAAUAUUUAUCAAGAAGAUGGACUUGGAAAUCUUACAAGAAUAAUUCAAAUGUCUUUAGGCCCAAUAACAAAAAAUCAAGCCAAGAAGGUUCAAUAAGCCUUUAAUAUUUUAAUCCAAUAUUGGAUUAAUGAAUAAGUCACUUC
rnacentral:lncRNA from 1 species